rnacentral:rRNA from 1 species
GAUGAACGCUGGCGGCGUGCCUAAUACAUGCAAGUCGAGCGAACAGACGAGGAGCUUGCUCCUCUGACGUUAGCGGCGGACGGGUGAGUAACACGUGGAUAACCUACCUAUAAGACUGGGAUAACUUCGGGAAACCGGAGCUAAUACCGGAUAAUAUAUUGAACCGCAUGGUUCAAUAGUGAAAGACGGUUUUGCUGUCACUUAUAGAUGGAUCCGCGCCGCAUUAGCUAGUUGGUAAGGUAACGGCUUACCAAGGCGACGAUGCGUAGCCGACCUGAGAGGGUGAUCGGCCACACUGGAACUGAGACACGGUCCAGACUCCUACGGGAGGCAGCAGUAGGGAAUCUUCCGCAAUGGGCGAAAGCCUGACGGAGCAACGCCGCGUGAGUGAUGAAGGUCUUCGGAUCGUAAAACUCUGUUAUUAGGGAAGAACAAAUGUGUAAGUAACUAUGUACGUCUUGACGGUACCUAAUCAGAAAGCCACGGCUAACUACGUGCCAGCCGCCGCCGUAA